UCGCUUAUAUAGUUUUAAUUAUUUUGUUAUUGAAAGUCUGAACAAAAAAUGUGUAUAAAUAUCGAAGUGAUUUUACCAACUAUAGAAAAGUUCUUAAUGUUGUAUCCUUUGCGAUGUGGUUGCAUUUUAAUACACUUCUGGACUACGUUACGAGCGGGGUUCUGUAUGGUAUUCUAUUCAACAGUAAUCUUAGAGGUUUUAAUUGGCGAAGAGACACCGUUCGGUGCUUGGCUGGUUACUGGGAAACCCGUCACAGAUAACCUAUAUCUCGUUUAUUAUACACUUUUAGUGUUAUUAUUGUGUGAGACAGUCUUGCUUAUAUUUUUGUUGCACUUAGCGAUCGGAUUACACUGUUUCAACUUAUACCUGAUACAGCAUUACUUAAUAUGUCGUUUCUUGACAUGGCUUAUUGAAAUGGGAGGGCUAUUUAUUUUGUGCCUGGCUCAUAAACUACUAAUAGGAUGGUAUUUGGGCAUAUUAUUCUUUAUUAUUCUAGAGUUUUAUUCUUUCAUCGUGGUCUACAGUUAUUAUGUCAAUCAACUAGAAAAUCAAAUAGAAGGAGAAAAACACAUUUGUUAAGAAGUCAUUACCAUUUUGCCCUAAUGUCUUUAUAGUGUUGUGAUUAUUAAUGAAGAUGGCCUUUGAACUGCCUAGAUUGAAGAAGUGUUGUUGUUGUUUACCGUUGAGAGCAGGAUCGCUUGUUAUUGGAUAUCUUUCUACUGUAUUUUCACUGUUCUGUCUAGGUAUUCUGUCCUUUUCACUCUACAAAGUAGUAACAUUUGUUCAAACACAUCAAAAAGACCCGGACCCGGAACACACGCCCGAAGAAUACGAACAAGUUUCUAAGAGUCUUUACAUA